GGGAAUGUGGCUUAAUGGUAAAGUGCCUGCCUAGCAUGCCUGAAGCCCUGGGAUCGAUUCCUCAUUACCA
rnacentral:tRNA from 1 species